GGGCGAAUGGUCUAGGGGUAUGAUACUCCCUUCGCAUCUGAAUUUCAGACAGACAUUGGGAGGGGUCCGGGGUUCAAUUCCCCGUUCGUCCA
rnacentral:tRNA from 1 species